rnacentral:ncRNA from 2 species
UAAUAAGAACAGGGGAGCACCUUGCUGAGAGUGGUUAAGACCAGACCCUUUGACCUGACCCGGAUAAUGCCGGCGUAGGGAGCAACUUUUCAUCGUUG